AAAUGGACAUUGACAAGGAGUAGUAAUGAUUCUUGCCUGAAUUAGAGAGUUGACGGACGGUGCAAGUCAACCAGGCUUUUCAUGAACUCGCCUUUGAGUAGCAGGUGUGAAGAUUAGUAAUACUUGCCGUUUUCCGCGUUAAGGAUGAGUAAGUGAGUGUGUAAACACUAAUGUGGGUGGUACCGCGGGAGAUAUAAUAAUCCUCUCGUCCCUUUU
rnacentral:ncRNA from 1 species